AUUGGUGGUUCGUCAUAAUCAUUUGGUGGCGGUGGUGAUGACUUAAUAGGUGGUUGAUUAGUUGGUGGUGAUGGUAGUCUCCUUGGUAGUUGAGUAGCUGGUGGUGAUAAUGGUGGUAAUAGGUUUGGUGGAGUAUCUGGUGGUGAUAAUGGUGGUCUUCUUGGCAGUUGAGUAGCUGGUGGUGAUGAUGGUGGUAGUAGGUUUGGUGGAGUAGCUGGUGGUGAUAAUGGUGGUCUCCUUGGUAGUUGAGUAGCUGGUGGUGAUGAUGGUGGUAGUAGGUUUGGUGGUUGAGAAGGUGGUGGUGCACGUUGGUCUGCUGGCGGUUGAGUAAGAGGUGACGGUGGAGGUGUUUGUCUUGGUGAUUGAGCUGGUGGUGAAUUGGUUAGUGGCGGUGGAGGCGAUUGAGAUAGGGGCGGUGGUGACUUAGUUGGCGGCGGCGAAAGUGGUGGUGUAGGUGAUUGAGCUGGCGGCGGCGGCGAAGGUGGUGGUGCAGGUGAUUGAGCUGGUGAUGGUGAAGGUGAUUGGGCUGGUGGUGGUGAAGGUGAUUGAGCUGGUGGUGGUGAUGACUUGGGUGACGGAGAAGGUGAUGGUGAAGGUGAUUGGGCUGGUGGUGGUGGUGACGACUUGGGUGGUGGUGAAGGUGAUUGAGCUGAUGGUGGUGAUGACUUGGGUGACGGAGAAGGCGGUGGUGAAGGUGAUUGAGCUGGUGGUGGUGGUGACUUAGGUGGCGGAGAAGGUGGUGGUGGUCGCUUAGCUGGUGGCGAUGGUGAUGGCUUUGGCUUAUUUACAGGUGGCUUUGGGUUUGGCUUAGGGAUCCCA
rnacentral:lncRNA from 1 species